rnacentral:rRNA from 1 species
UACGUAGGGGGCUAGCGUUGUCCGGAAUCAUUGGGCGUAAAGAGCGCGUAGGCGGCCCGAUAAGUCUGCUGUGAAAGUCCAGGGCUCAACCCUGGAAUGCCAGUGGAUACUGUCGGGCUAGAGUACGGAAGAGGCGAGUGGAAUUCCUGGUGUAGCGGUGGAAUGCGCAGAUAUCAGGAGGAACACCAAUAGCGAAGGCAGCUCGCUGGGACGUUACUGACGCUGAGGCGCGAAAGCGUGGGGAGCAAACAGG